AUUCUGCACCUUUAACUCCUUUGCCUGUUAACACGCUGUAGUGGGAGAACAACUUGCCUUGUUCAAGUUUAACCCAUAACUGGUACCGUAGAUGCCAUGACUCAGCUGUUCAUUCUAGUCUGGAAAGCACAGGCUGGCUUGUUACAAAUGCACCUCCUGAAAACUAGAGCAGAAGCCAGGUUGUCUAGAGGUUAGACCAAAGGAUGGGGAGUCAGGAAUUUGCUUUUCCUGGUUCUGUCACCUACAGACUGAGACACCCUGAGUUGGUCACUCAGCCUCCGUUUGCUGCUUCCAUACUUCACAAGGGCAUUGUCAGACUUUAUUUGUUAGUGCUUUAAGAUCCUCCAUUGAAAGGAGCUAUAGACGCGCAAAAUUGUGGUGUUCUAUUAUUAAGCAAAUCUCUGAACUUCAGCCUGGAAUCAACACAGAUACAUGCAGUGACUUCAACUCAUAGGUCCUGCCAGAAUCCCACUGCAAAUUUGAGAAAGCUAUAACUGCAUCCUUUGUGUGUCCCAACGAGUUUAUUUUGAGUUGGUCUGCCAGCUAUUCAAGCUCAGUCAGUAGCAGCUUCGGCGCGAACCAUUAAAGGCAUCACUUUAAGGAGCACAAGUUUUAAAUGUUUAACCAGAUUCCUUCAGUUCACUGAAGUCGGGUUUUCUUGGAGCAACACUUUUUAAAAGAUUCCUCCGCAUACCUUUUUCAGUCAACGCCCCCCCUCCCGUCGCAUAUGAGCAAAACUUGCUUCUAACAGCGUUUUAAAAACAUCUUUUUAAAAAAAGUAAAUGGCCAGAUUUUACAGAUGCAUCUGUGUGAAAUCCUUCCAAGAGUUUGAGAUACCUGCACUAAAGAAUUUACUGUAAAGCUUUUGGGAUGGAAUGGAUCUGAUUUAUGUGUGUGUAAAUUUAGUGGGAAAGGUGCCGCAAUCAACAGCACUGGGAAAUGAUGCCCUAGUCUUCCACAGAAGAUUUCAUACAGCAUGCGGAUCAGCAAUAAGAGUGGCAUUGAGCUACUCUCAUUUAGAGGUACUGCCUCGUUAUUAGUUUAUGGCUUCAUGUUUAUAGUAGCAGCUAGAUUAAGGCCCCAUCAUGCAGUGUGCAAUGAAAGCUCAUAGUAAGAAACUGUGCCUGCUUCAAAGUGCAUAGACUGUAGGUAGACAAAGCCUCAGAGAAAAGUAAUAUGACAUUUCCUGUUAUGCAAAUGGGGAAACGGAGGCACAGGAUGAUUAAGUGACUUGCCCGGGGUCACACAGGAAGUCUGUGGCAGGGCCAGGAGUUGAAUCCAGGUCUCCUGAGUCCCACUGUACUGCUUUAACCACAAGACCAUACUUCCUCACUACCUCAAGGCCAUUCAGUGCCCAAUGGCUGAUGAGCAUGGCAGUUCGGAUAAAUAAUGGUUUAUGUGAGGUGGACACCUCUCCACUAGGUAUCAGUCUGAAACCUCAAUCCAUUUCACACAGGCCAACACACCUGGGUCGGAAGGUAACAGCUCUCAUUCCUGUAGACCUGCGGGUAGCGACCUGAAGCUAGCAUGAGCUAUAAUCUCUGUGAGCCAUCCAGGUCUGUAUCCAGAUAACCACAGACGACAUGUUCUUGUUUUAACUUCUCCUGGUGUGAUGUCUUGCACAGAGCGACACCGCAGCAUGGGGAGAAAACAAACCUCAUCAGCAAGGGACUGGCAGUUCCUUCAAUGCCUGGCCAAACACACCCUGCUCAGAGAGGAACCGGAGUUUCUCUAGGAUGAAAUAUAACAGCACUAGGAAGGAGACGUCGAGUAACACAGACAAUGGCUGGAAUGAGCGAGACGUGCUGAGGAGAGAUGUCCAGAUCCUGAAGUGAUCUUGCAACCAAGAUUUUCACCCCGGUUGGAGAUGGCAGCAUCUGUUGUUCUUCAUGUUUCCUAACUGUGCCACCUUUGGUUGGCUGCCACCGAAGGACUGGAAUGUGCAUAUAAAUCACACACAGGGGCUCCCACUCCAAUCUAUCUGUGGCAGUGAAGGAACAUAAAGUCCAAUGGUGGAGCGUUAACUCUCUGGAGGAAGGAAACCUUUGUCUACCUACACUGGAGCAAGACUGUGCUCUGCCUUCAUCUACUCACAGUCAGUUGAGCACAGCAAGCACUGUUCCAAGCUUUUACUAGUACUUGUUGGAUUUACUCAGCUUCCACUUUUCUGAAAGGCCUACCUGUUUGUCCAUCAGCUCCCCAUCCACAGGAGUAAACCUCGCCCCUCUCAGUCCUGAACAGACUGUGAUCCUGCCCACAGACGAUCUACAGGCAAGUGAAAAGCUACGUCAGAUCAUGUUGAGAAUUAGUGCACUGUGACAUCAUGUGCGGACCUAUGAAUGUGGACCUCUUGUACUCAACAUGCCCGUUCUCUUUAGCCAGAACUUGCCAAUUUUUUGGCCUUCCGUCCAGAGCAAAUACAACAGCUGCACGUGUGAGAGGGAAGGUCAAAACCACCCCAAUACCGGCCUUGGUGAACACAGCAGAAUUUUGGCUUUUGUCUGUAGGGAGCUCCUGAAGUGGAAAUCUAAUUUGUUAUGGAAUUCUAAACAACACAGUGAACAGAGAGGCCCAAGCAUGCAGUACCCCAACAUCAUAAAAUGGCCUCAGCGAAUGAUAGAAGAGAACUCCAUCGCAACUGCUAAGACACCUCCCCCAGAAUGGUAUUUUCUGGCUCAUGUAAUGUCAGCUACACCGUGAAAUUUGAUUCUUUGACUUAAGAACUACGGCAACCUGGAAUGUCCCUUUGCCACUCCACAUCUGUUCUGGAACUGAUACUGUUUUACUCACGCCUGUCAUGGGACUGGUAUGAGCUAUUCCAGUGAUACUCAGACAGAGGCUCGUGAACCGCAAGUGGCUCUUUAAUGUGUCCCCUGCCGCUCUUUGCGGCACAUGACAUUAAACACUGUGUGAUUUAAUUAUUAACCAAUCUGGAUGCUUUUACUAUUAUUAACCAAUUAAGUUAUCAAUUUAAACUAAAUUAUUAUUUUGUUUGCUGUGAGAAAAUAUAUUUAUUUUUAUUUUAUAUAUAUACACACACACACACUAAAUAUACACACACACUAAGUAUUUUAUUUCCCUGUCAUACUGUUUAAAUUUGAAUAUCUAGUACUAUAGUAAAUUAAACAAUGAAUUCACACAACUGUGGCUCCCUUGGGUAAUGCUAAUCGCUAAUUUGGCUCCUGAACCACUGAGGUCUGAGUAUCACUGAGCUAGGGACAAAAUUUCCAAAGGCGAAGCCUAAAGUCACUCCUAAAUCACUGGGUAAAUUUUCAAGAACAGUGAGCACCUAAGAGCUGACACCAAUAUCACAGGGAGCUAGGUGCUCAGGACACCUGGAAAUCUGGCUAGUGAUUAAGAGUCUAAAUGAGGAUUUAGGCUUUUAACAUUAAAGGACUUAUUUUUUUAAAAAAUUGGCCAAAUAUAAUGGGGUCCUCUCCCACCCCACUGGCCUGGAUUAGUUACCUUGCUGUCUAAGCGGUCACUUGGUGGAUUUUAUGGGGCAAACUUUCCCAAGUGCACACAUGCAAUCCAGGUACAUGGCCAUGCAAAUGGCCAGCUGUGCAGGUGAACUGACCACUUUGUGCAUGUAAUUACUGCAGUUGCAUGAAAUAGCAGGCCGCUCAUGUGUGCUCAUUAGGUUUCACCCAAUCCUAGAAAUCCUCAUCUAGAAUCUGAUCUUAUGUGGAAUCUAGUUGGCAAUUUACAGGGAGAAUGGGCUCAUGGUUAAGGCGCUGGAUAGCACUUGGGACUUCACAAAUGAAAGGUCUCAGUGCCCAAUGCUGCAAACUGAUGGUGGUAAAAGGAGAGGCAGCAGACACAAAAGAGAAGGCCGAGAUGACUGAGAAGUGGUCAGGGAUAGGCCUCUCACAACAGAUAAUACUCUUAAAUGCAGCCAAAGAAAUUCAGCAGCAGAGGGUGCCCAUCAACUAAGGUCUCAUGUUUCCUGCUCCUAUCUGGUCCUCCCAGGUAUUCAGACCCAGCAAGGUCAAUCACACUAGCUGGGCAGUGGGGAAUUGCUCAAGCCACAAAGAAUCAAGCAGUAGGGGCCCUUUCCCAUUUUAGAAGACAUCAGUUGACCGACCCCCAUCCUCAGACAGGUUUUAGAUUGAGAAAAGGCUCUUACCUGCACAACCCUGCCGUCAAACUUUCGCAGUCGGUGAAUUAGAUGGCUCUCACUACAUCACCGGCAGAGAAAGAGGGGAAGAUUUCAAGGGUUUGCAACUGAAACUUCCAGAGGCUUGCUCUCUGUCAUAAACGUACAGCUACGGGUAGCAUAAAAUCCCUCUUUACCAUGUAAAGGGUUAAGAAGCUCAGAUAACCUGGUUGGCACCUGACCAAACGGACCAAUAAGGGGAGAAGAUACUUUCAAAUCUGUGGGGGGGGGGGAAGGUUUUUGUUUGUGUCUUUGUUUUGUUCUCUUCGAGUCAGUAAGGAACCAGGGCAGGAAAAAUACAUCUCCUUAAGCAUAUCUGGACUAAGCCUCUAGUAUUGCAGAAAUAGGUUAUCUUUUGUUUUAGCUUGUGAAUUUUCCCUGUGCUAGAGGGAGGCUUAUCCCUGUUUUUGUAACUCUAAA